rnacentral:lncRNA from 1 species
UGCUUGUACGCACUUUGCCAUUUAUCACCAUAUUGCCACCUGUAGGUUGUGGGUCGAGGGCAAGAGUGGGUCGAACCCAAAAGAACAAAGAAUACCA